UCCCUGGAGGACUAGUGGUUAGGCCUUGGCACUCUACCUGCUGUGGCCCGGGUUCGAUUCCCAGCCAGGGAA